rnacentral:misc_RNA from 1 species
UAUUCUUGUCGCUUCAUCAGUAUGGCUGGCUUUGCUCUUGUGUAUGCAGGUUGAAGAUUAUUGGUGAAUAAUAUGUAGGCCCUGCACAUUGUGGCAAGGUUAUGUGUAGACUGAAAUGAACUAUUUUUGAUAAUCAUUGCAAAUAUGUCGCUAUUUUAAAUUGUAAGUUAAUCAGAAUGAAGUCAUCUUUUAUGCAACUUUGAAAAUUGUGUAAAAAUUGGUUAGCUUAAACAACUGUUGAUAAUCAUGUAUUAAUGAUUUGUAUUUAAUCUGUAAACUACCACAUUAAACUGUUUUACAUAAUAAU